UAUAGCAAAUGGCCCGCCGGUGUCCGGUCUUUAUCUCGUCGUGUCGUUUAAGUGCACGAGGGAUGCGCGUCUGGUUACGCCGGCGGCCGUCGGCGCUGCGUGGCGAGUAUGGCAGCACAGGACGGCCAUAAUCAUAUAUUAACCGUCAUCUCUCGCCAUCAGAGAGAGAGUAGCGAAUGACCACGCCUUUUUAUAGAUGUGCCCCCACCAUCAGCCGCCGGCGGGUCUUCCAUACUUGUAUUUUGUGCGUACAGCGACGACGGUGAGAGAAUGUGGUGUAGGUAGCAACUGCUCCGGUAGCGUAUAAUUCUAUAAUCCGGUCACCUCUCCGCGAGACCAGCAUGACCAUUCGCCAUAGGUGAUGGUCGUCUCCGUCUUCCCACCACACCCUGGAUGCCGAAGGAGCGCGAGCGCAGCGAUAAAGCAGUAAAUCCUGCCCACAGGAUAACCAACGUGCGCGGGGGAGGCCGCCCCUCGGAUUGCGCUGCGUCGGCGUGCGCGGCGCACGCCAGCAAAGAAGCGGCAACUCGCGAGGAGCGUCGCGGCGCACUCGGCGCGCACACCGUCGGCGACACUCGCCGGGAUCGGUCGCGCCAAACACUCACUCACCAUCAUCAGCAUCAUCAUCCGAUCAGCACACACGCACACACCGGCAUCGAAAACAUUCGAAAUUUAUUCGAUUCGCUCGCGAAAGAAAGAGACACACAGAAGAGCAGGUAUCAACCACCACCACCCAGUCACCUGAGCACGAAUCAAGUCGCCAGCAGAUAUCGCCGAGAAAACAUUGCUUUGACAGUCCGAGAAGUUGCGCCUUGUAUCCAACUACCACCACCACCAUCAGCCGAUCGGGUGUUGUCCACGCACAUGCCGCGACGAAUUCGAUCAAGUGUUUUCAGUUUACAAUUACGAGCCAGCCGACAUCCACCGAGUUUUAUCCACUGAUAAAACACAACGUGUGGCAAGCCAGUGUUGAACGUGUCAGUCCAAUGGACCAAUGGUGGACCCAAACAUACAAAAAUUGGCGAAUUGCAGAAUCAUUGUGCUGACACAUGCAGGUUUCUUCAUGGUGGGGCUGUGCAGACGGGCUCACAAGUUGACUUGCAUGUACAACCCCCUGUACGUAUACUGAAUGUAUCCUGAGUGUCUUCUGUCCGGUAUACUUUCAGUAUACGUAACAGGAGGCUACAUAUCAUCGUGGGAUCACUUCUUCAUCCAGAUGACAUUUGGAGACAUAGAUUUCACAUGGUUAUACAAUAAAUAAUUCUGUUCUACUUUUGAAACACUUUGAAUAAACAUGUAACAGACCUUUGAAUGUCAAUAAAAACUACUUAUACAUAAACAUAGAUAACAUGCAAAUCGCUGAAUAUUCUUGCAAAACAUUUCGGAUAGUUGCUUAAUUAAUUACGACUAUAAGUAUUUAUAUUAUGAUAAUGCAUUUUACGAGCAUCAAUAAAAUAUUAUUAUUAUUGAA